CUUGGUUGCCUCGAGACGUGGAGAAAAAGGGAGAGAGGCAGGUGUAGACGUGCAACAGGUGCAGUUUCUCAGGAUAAGGAGGAAAUAAAUGAUCUUCACAAAACCACUGGGAUUGAGACAGAGGUGCAAGGAUGGGGCUUGUAAAGGGGAAAGAUGAUUAUAAACUGGCGGCGACCUCCGAGGACGAUGGAAAGAAGAAGAGUGAAAAGCAGGUGAAGAAAGCGAAGGAGAAGAUGGAUAAGGAUGACCUGAAAAAGGAAGUUGACCUGGAUGACCACAAGUUGACCUUGGAUGAGCUUAACAGGAAAUACGGCACAGACUUAGCCAGGGGUCUAUCCUCGGUUCGGGCUAAGGAGAUCCUUCUUCGGGAUGGCCCAAACACCCUGACUCCUCCCCGCACUACCCCUGAGUGGGUGAAGUUCUGCAAACAGCUCUUUGGCGGGUUCUGCAUGCUGCUGUGGAUCGGAGCUGUGCUCUGCUUCAUAGCCCACAUUAUCCAAGUCACCUCAGAGGAAGAGCCGACCAAUGCUAAUUUGUACCUGGGCCUUGUGCUCGCUGUUGUCGUCAUUAUCACCGGUUGUUUCUCCUACUACCAAGAAGCCAAGAGCUCAAAGAUCAUGGACUCCUUCAAAAACCUGGUCCCGCAGCAAGCCCUGGUAGUCCGUGACGGUGAGAAGAAGAACAUCAACACUGAAGAAGUGGUGGUUGGCGAUAUAGUGGAGGUGAACGGCGGAGAUAGGAUACCAGCUGAUUUGCGUAUCGUCUCUGCCAGCGGCUGCAAGGUGGACAACUCCUCUCUCACUGGUGAAUCUGAGCCCCAAACUCGUAGUCCCGAUUUUAGCAAUGACAACCCCCUGGAAACCAGGAACAUUGCCUUCUUCUCUACCAACUGUGUUGAGGGAACUGCCAGAGGUAUCGUCAUCAACACUGGUGACCACACUAUCAUGGGUCGUAUCGCCGCAUUGGCCAUGAGUCUGGAAAGUGGGCAGACGCCUCUCGGAAUUGAAAUUGAUCACUUCAUUGAAAUCAUCACCGGUGUGUCCGUCUUCUUUGGUGUGACUUUCUUAAUCCUUUCCGUCAUUCUGGGCUAUGGAUGGCUGCCAUCCAUCAUCUUCCUCAUUGGAAUCAUCGUCGCUAAUGUGCCAGAGGGUCUCCUGGCUACUGUAACUGUGUGUCUAACUCUGACUGCCAAGCGUAUGGCCAAGAAGAACUGCCUGGUGAAGAAUCUGGAAGCUGUGGAGACCUUGGGGUCCACCUCCACAAUCUGCUCCGACAAGACUGGCACCCUGACCCAGAACAGAAUGACUGUGGCUCACAUGUGGUUCGACAACCAGAUCCAUGACGCUGACACCACAGAGAACCAGAGUGGUACCUCUUUCGACAAAAGCUCUGCCACCUGGGCUGCCCUGGCUAGAGUCGCUGGCCUGUGCAACCGAGCCGUCUUCCUGGCAGAACAGAACAACGUACCUAUCCUCAAGAGAGAUGUGAGCGGUGAUGCCUCAGAAACUGCCCUGCUGAAGUGUAUCGAGCUGUGCUGUGGGUCUGUCAAAGACAUGAGAGAAAAGUACAGCAAAGUCGUUGAGAUCCCCUUCAACUCCACCAACAAAUACCAGCUCUCCAUUCAUGAGGACAGCACGGCCAGCGAGUCCAAUCAUCUGCUGGUGAUGAAGGGAGCCCCUGAGAGGAUCCUGGACAGCUGCUCCACCAUCUUGCUCCAAGGCAAAGAACAUCCUCUGGAUGACGAGAUAAAGGAAUCAUUUCAGAAAGCAUACGAAGCGCUAGGAGGACUGGGAGAGAGAGUGCUGGGUUUCUGCCAUUUCCAGCUCCCUGAUGACCAGUUUCCAGAAGGCUUUGACUUUGACUGUGAAGAUGUGAACUUUCCCACUGAGAAUCUGUGCUUCGUUGGCCUCAUGUCCAUGAUUGACCCUCCCCGUGCUGCUGUGCCUGACGCUGUGAGCAAGUGCAGGUGUGCUGGAAUCAAGGUUAUCAUGGUCACUGGGGAUCAUCCCAUCACUGCGAAGGCCAUUGCCAAGGGUGUGGGCAUCAUCUCUGAGGGCAACGAGACUGUUGAGGAAAUUGCUGCUCGUCUGAAAAUCCCAGUUUCUGAGGUCAACCCAAGAGAUGCCAAGGCCUGUGUUGUCCAUGGUGGAGAGCUGAAGGACAUGACCCCGAAGAGUUGGAUGACAUCCUGAUGCAUCACACUGAGAUUGUGUUUGCAAGAACUUCUCCUCAGCAGAAACUGAUUAUUGUGGAGGGUUGCCAGCGUCAGGGGGCCAUUGUGGCUGUGACAGGCGAUGGUGUGAACGAUUCCCCUGCUCUGAGGAAAGCUGACAUCGGUGUUGCUAUGGGUAUCGCUGGAUCUGACGUCUCCAAGCAGGCUGCAGACAUGAUCCUCCUGGAUGACAACUUUGCCUCCAUCGUGACUGGUGUUGAAGAGGGCCGUCUGAUCUUUGACAACUUGAAGAAGUCCAUCACCUACACCCUGUCCAGUAAAAUUCCAGAGAUGACCCCUUCCUCUUCUUGCUCCUCGCCAACAUUCCACUGGCCCUAGGGACCGUCACCAUCCUCUGCAUCGACCUGGGAACUGACAUGAUCCCCGCUAUCUCCCUGGCCUAUGAACAAGCUGAGAACGACAUCAUGAAGAGACAGCCACGGAACCCCAAAACAGACCGACUGGUGAACGAGAGACUCAUUAGUGUGGCCUAUGGUCAAUUUGGAGUGAUGCUGGCCGCAGCCGGCUUCUUUACAUACUUUGUAAUCAUGGCUGAGAACGGGUUCUAUCCCAUGGACUUGCUAGGAAUCCGUUUGGACUGGGAAAACCAGUAUAUCAACGACUUGGAGGACAGCUACGGCCAGCAGUGGACAUAUGAGAGCAGAAAGAUAAUUGAGUUCACCUGCCACACAGCGUACUUCGCCGCUGUUGUGAUUGCACAGUGGGCCGUUUUGAUCGUCUGUAAGACCAGGAAGAACUCCUUCUUUCAGCAGGGACUAAUGAAGAACCGUGUUCUCAUCUUCGGACUUUGUUCAGAAUCUGCCCUGGCUCUCUUCCUGUCCUACUGCCCUGGAAUGGACGUUGCCAUCAGAAUGUACCCACUCAAGCCUUUCUGGUGGGUAUGUGCCUUUCCCUACACCCUGCUCAUCUUCAUCUAUGAUGAGGUUAGAAAAUACAUCAUGCGACGGAACUCAGGAGGUUGGGUGUACCAAGAGACAUACUAUUGAGACGAAGAGGUCGGGAAUGGUAUCUUCAUUCAGGUUGGGUGUACCAAGAGACAUACUAUUGAGACGAAGAGGCCGUCCCAGGAUCACUCAGUCACUCUGCUGCAGUAUUGCCUUGUAAUGCAAUCGUUCAUUUUUACAAUGAUAUUAAACCCAUUUGCUUUGAUAGACAAUUCUCAGACCUUUCUUGAUAGUCUGUUCCUGUAGCUCUUUAAGAGUCUCGGUUGCACUUUACUAUUCAUCUUUAUGGAGUCAGAUUGCGUCGUCUUAUUACGGGGCAUCAUCAAACACGAAAGAGGAGCAUCGCACAUCCAACACCAGAUCACCCUAAAAAUCAUUCGAUCCUGUAGCUUUCUCCAACACGGAUCGAUCUGAAAUGAGCAGCAAAGACAACAGGUCACGAUGUCAACAGUAGCCUAUCCCUGGGAAAUGCAUUUAGGUCUACCUUUACUUGUAAAUGAAGUCCAUCCGUCUGUCCUUACAUGAGAAAAUGCUUCAAUCAAAUGGUUCUGUGUUUUGAUGUGGGCCUAUCCGAAAACACGGUGGAACUGUCUGGGUUCAUCAUUACUCCUAAAUGCUUGUCUUUCUUCAAAAUGUCACUGUUUUCCUUUAGGCUACCUAAACAUGAGAAUAACUGGUUAUUAGCCUAUACGAACUUGUAAAAUGUAGUCAGUGUGUGUGAGAAACAAACUGUGAAAAAGAGUGUCACCAUGUGGUGGUCUCUGAUGAAGGUGCUGGUUUAGAUUAUAGGUGCAACUGUCCCAGCGUCCCGUUUGGAGGACGGAAAUGACCGGUAGUUUCAUUUCAAUUUUUUUAUGUCACAUGCACAAGUACAUUAAAAUGCCUUUCCUUCCAGCUCUAACCCCAGCAAAGCAGUAAUCAAUAACAGUGUAAUACUAAAAAUAACAAGGUAGAACAAAAACACACAAGAUAUGAAAAGAAGAAAGAAGAUAGAACACAAAGUAAGUAAGCGUACUAUAAUACAGGGUCAGUUCCAGUACCCUAUGUGUAGGGAUACUGGUUCAAUAGAGACAGAUACACAGUUCACACAUGUAUUACUACACUCAAGAGACACACACACACACACACACACACACACACACACACACACACACACACACACACACACACACACACACACACACACACACACACACACACACACACACACACACACACACACACACACACACACACACAUCAGCCAGGAAGUGGACUAGUGAAAUUCUCAGUGAUAGUGGUUUCUAGAACAGAGAGAAAAAUACACAAAAUCUAAUUUUAUUUGUCACGCGCUUUGUAAACAACAAGGAUUAUCCGUAACCAUGGUAGCACUCACAUGAAUGUAGAAGUGUUUAGAAACAUGUUUUAUUCUUAUUUGCAAUAAAAGU